UCCCCUCUAUGGACUACCUAUAGACGAAAGUGGAUACAGUGUCUAUUUAUUUUUGUCCAUAUACUUUGUAUAUAGACUUUCUAUAGACGAAAGUCGAAAAGAUUUCAAUUUCUUUUUGUCUACUCGCAGUCUAUAGAAAAAAUUAGAUAAGGUGUUUGUUUCUUCUUUGUCUAUUUCCCCUCUAUAUGGACUACCUGUAGAGGAAAGGCGAUACAGUUUCUAUUUAUUUUUGUCCAUACUUUGUCCAUAGACUCUCUAUAUUAUGGGCAAUAGUCGACAAGGUUUCUAUUUCUUUUUCUCUACUCCCGGUGUAUUGAAUGUCUAUAGAAGAAAGUCGAUAAUAUGUAAUUCCGAGUUCCCAUACCCCCCGCCCUCUGCGAACGCGAUGAUAUGGCGCUGGUUCAUGCACGACGGCACCGCAACCCCGGCGCGGCGGGAAAACCGUGCAGACUGCUAGUCUGCGUUCGGUGCAGCUUCCCCGAACGAGGAUCGCGGCGGAGCAGGCACUGUCUGAGUCACCAAUGUCUUCCAGGCACCCGAAGGCCCUAAACCUGGCUGCUUCCCGGACGCACAGUUCGCGAAGACCAGGUGGUGAAGGUCAGAUGGUGAUGAUGUGGCAAAGGUGGUGAAUAAGUGGCAAAAGCCGGCAGACCAGGUGGUGAAUUCACCACCUGGUCUGCCUCUGAGUUGUCGUGGUCUUGCAUGUCUAUAGAUUAACAAUAGACAAACAUCGUUAAUCUGGGCCCAACCCGUGUACGCUGUAAGCAAGCGCAGGUACCGGUGGAUAAUACUUAGCUGCGUUUGAUAUAAGCCACUGAAGUUGUAUACUGCUAAGAUUGCUGUAGAGCCUAUUUGUAGACAUUAGUACGCACAUAGUGUAUACCUCCGCAUUUGUUGACCACAUGAUAUGAUCUACGUAGUCGCUCUCGGCAAUCCCAAGACAGUCUUCACAGUUGUCGCACCACUUUUGCGGCAGUAGAAUAAAGAAAGCAAAACGCCGAUCCAAUUGUUAUAAUAGAUGUUAUGAACGCCAGCUUCAGCUACAACUGGAUUCCAAACAGGCAUCAAGCUAACAGCAAAGACACUCGUAAUGUUUGUAGCUGACAACGCGGACUUUGUGAAUGUGCGAUGAACCGAUGUCGUGCAUGUGGUGUUCGCGUUGUGUGUCGUCCGAUUCUCGGAUACUUUUCACAUUGUCUUCAUAUCUCGGCUGCGUCACUAACAUCGGGCGGUUUUUUGUUGACUGAUAUCCCGCACUAUAAACCCAUCAAAGUUUCUCAUUCACUUGAAAUAGGUGCCAAAUUCUCUGAGCCCACCCAGUGUUUCGCCGGCGGUAUGCCUGCGCAGCCUCGCAUAUGAGUACCUCAAUGCUGUACUGAUUGCUUUGACCUAUCAUGGGAACAGAAAAGUAGCACUAACAUACGUGCGGGCAUCACAUUUGGCGGUAGGCUGGAAGAUAUGCUACAAGUACGCUGUAUUACUAAUCGACGCUGGCAAUAAUGCGUCUGAAACGUCUGAAGGGCCCUGUAACGGCUUUUACAAACAGCGCAUUCAUGUUAGCGUUCCAGUCUCAUACGAUAGCCCACAGCGUUUGUCAUGCAACCUGCCAGCGCAUUUCCUUCGUCCAUGAAAAAAGAUGAAUUAUGGUGAUAAAGAUGCAUAAGCCACCCGUUCCGGAGCGCAUGGCGCGCAGGGAGAGAGAGAAAGAGACAAAAAAAAAAUGAAGGAAAAGGCGCUCACACUCUUCCGAGCGCGCACGCCCUCGGGCGCGGAGCUCCUGCGCAUGCUCGGAGCUCUUGCGCAUGCGCGGCGGUGCGUCGUCUCAACGAGUGCGCCAGGCACGUAAACGGUUGUAUCGGUGUGCGGUGUCUGCCUGAACGUUGGUGUCUGUGUAUGCGUGUCUUCUUUGUGGCAUCACACGUCAACUACACCGGACGCAUACACCUGCAGCACCUUUGGGACUAAUGACACAAAGGUCAAGGCCAGCCUGGCGACCAUGCUUGCCAAGGAGUAGUGUAAAUAUUUAAUCUGUUUCCAUAAUAGCAUAAGACAUGAAUUUAAGGAAUUCAUCUAUUAUAUCCAGCAAUAAAAACUGUUAAUGCA